UUAGCAAGACAAGCGCCAGGACUGGAUGGCUUAUCCGGGGCUGCUUGAUUUUCUGCGAAUUCGGUCACAGGGUCUGUCGCCGCGGGAAGCGGCGGGUAAUGGACUCCACUAUCUCUUAGACAACGCAGGAAGCGGGUAUCUCAGGUUGGCACCAGUUGACGAGGUGAAGGUGUUCGAAACAUUCGGCGGGGACCUUCCGGCCAUCGAUCCAGCCGUAUCGUCAAAACUGAAAACGUCCGGGCGACCGGACCGACAAAGUUAUUGACGGGAUCUUAC
rnacentral:ncRNA from 2 species